rnacentral:rRNA from 1 species
UAUCUCUGUAGAGUCUGCAUAUCAAUAAGCGGAGGAAAAGAAACUAACAAGGAUUCCCUUAGUAACGGCGAGUGAAGCGGGAAGAGCUCAAAUUUGAAAUCUUCAAGGUUCUACCUUGACGAAUUGUAGUUUAAAGAAGUGUUUUCUGUUAGAUGAGUAGCAAAAGUUCCUUGGAAUGGGACAUCAUAGAGGGUGAGAAUCCCGUAUUUGGUUAUUCAUUCUAGCUUUGUGAUACACUUUCAAAGAGUCGGAUUGUUUGGGAAUGCAGUCCAAAAUGGGUGGUAAAUUUCAUCUAAAGCUAAAUAUUGGCGAGAGACCGAUAGCGAACAAUGUACCGUGAGGGAAGAUGAAAAGAACUUUGAAAAGAGAGUUAAACAGUACGUGAAAUUGUCAAAAGGGAAGCGUUUGACACCAGUGUUGUUUUUCCGAAAAUCAAUUACGAAUGGCUUGAUUCUGUGUUGUAUUGACCUUAUCAGCUUUCUUCACUUUUUUCGAGUCUUUCUUAAUGCACUUUUCGGUUAACAAGUCAACAUCAAUUUCUUUUGUUGUAAAAGAGUAUUCGGAAGGUGGCUUUCUUUUCGGAGAAAGUGUUUAUAGCCCUAUACUUCUACAAUCGGAGAGAUUGAGGUCUGCAGCGUAGAUCCUUCGGGGUUAGAUACAUUUGUGCUAAGUUGUAGCUUUUCAUAGACAACUUGUUGACUAUGUUUAGUCAUGCGGCUUACUCGCUUAUGCUAUUUUACCUACGCUUAGGAUGUUGAUGAUAUGCGCGACACG